AUGGCACAUGGAAUAUGUGAAAUUUUGUGGUUAAGGAUCUUAUUAAUGGAACUGGGCUUGUUUCGGUCGAAACCCUUAAUGCUGUACUGUGAUAACAAGGCAGCUAUUGAUAUUGCGCACAAUCCAGUACAACACAGUCGAACAAAACACAUUGAGAUUGAUCGACACUUCAUUAAAGAAAAGCUGGACCAAGGAGUCAUCUGCAUGCCCUAUGUGAGUUCUUCUAACCAAGUAGCAGAUAUUUUAACUAAAGGGUUACCAGAUAGGCAAUUCUCAAGUCUUUGUUGCAAGAUGGGGUUAUUUGAUGUAUUUGCCCCAUCUUGA
rnacentral:rRNA from 1 species